UACGAAGGGGGCUAGCGUUGCUCGGAAUCACUGGGCGUAAAGCGCACGUAGGCGGCUUCUAAGUCAGGGGUGAAAUCCUGGAGCUCAACUCCAGAACUGCCUUGAUACUGGAGAGCUUGAGUCCGGGAGAGGUGAGUGGGAACUCCGAGUGUAGAGGUGAAAUUCGUAGAUAUGGGGAGGAACACCGGUGGCGAAGGCGGCCAUCUGGACGGUAACUGACGCUGAGACGCGAAAGCGUGGGGAGCAAACAGGGAUUAAGAAACCCUGAG
rnacentral:rRNA from 1 species